rnacentral:rRNA from 1 species
GAUGAACGCUGGCGGCGUGCUUAACACAUGCAAGUCGAACGGAAAGGCUCCUGCUUGCAGGGGUACUCGAGUGGCGAACGGGUGAGUAACACGUGGGUGAUCUGCCCUGCACUUCGGGAUAAGCCUGGGAAACUGGGUCUAAUACCGGAUAGGACCACAUUUUGGAUGGUGUGGUGGAAAGUUUUUCGGUGUGGGAUGAGCUCGCGGCCUAUCAGCUUGUUGGUGGGGUAAUGGCCUACCAAGGCGUCGACGGGUAGCCGGCCUGAGAGGGUGUACGGCCACAUUGGGACUGAGAUACGGCCCAGACCCCUACGGGAGGCAGCAGUGGGGAAUAUUGCACAAUGGGCGCAAGCCUGAUGCAGCGACGCCGCGUGGGGGAUGACGGCCUUCGGGUUGUAAACUCCUUUCGCUAGGGACGAAGCGCAAGUGACGGUACCUGGAGAAGAAGCACCGGCUAACUACGUG